AAAACUCUUUGGUGACCAGUGAAGCCUUCUGAUCCAGGACUUCUCCUUGUUGGGAAGUUGUUUUAAAAUUAUUUACUUAAUAUUCUUAGUAGUUAUAGGUCUAAUCAGAUUUUCUAUUUCUUCAUGAUUCAGUCUUUGUAAAAAUUGUGUCUACUUCAUCUAUGUUAUCCAAUUUGUUUGUAGUAGUCUCUUCUAUUCAUUUCUGAAAAAUUGGUUGUAGUGUCCUCAUUUUCAUUUCCAAUUUUAGUAAUUUGAGCACUCUGUCUUUUUUUCCAUAACCACUCUAACUAAAUUUGCCAAUUUCGUUGAUCCUUUUAAGUAAUCAACUUUUUGGUUCAUUAAUUUUCUCUAUUUUAUCUCUGGUCUAAUCUUUAUUAUUUUCUUUAUUUUGAUAGCUUUGGGUUCAUAGUAGUGGCACUUUCCCACUUGAGAUCUGAAUUAAGUGAAAUAGAGACCAGUUCUUCAUGGACUCCUAAGACAGAUUAGAAUAUUGCAAAUAAGAUCUGUUAUGUUCCCUCCCAUUCAAGAGAGGGAACUGAGAAGUGAACUCCUGCCUCCUCUAAACAAGCUUUCUGUUGGGAUGAGGAGGGGAUGGGGCAAGGGCAAGAAAAAUGCCAUGGAACUUUUCCUACCAUUUCAAAAGUGGCUUUUUCUUCAUUGGGCAUUUGAUUGGUUGUUAUAAAACUCUGACUGUUUUCCAGAGUCCCUAUAAGGUUAAUUCAACCAUUUGGGUUUUUUUUUGUUUGUUUGGCUGUUUUUUUAUUACUCUAAGUUGGGGGAAAGAGAGAGUUUGGAAUUUCCUAGUCCACCACUUUGCUGACAUCACUCUCUCUAUCUCUAUACUUUUACACUGAUUUUUAAAAAGAUGAUAGAAAUGUGUUCACAUAUUUCUUAAGUAACUAAAAAUUAGUGACAUUAUCCAAGAUCUUGGUGGAUAAAUAAUAUUCUCUCUGAAGAACCAAUGCCCCUUAGAAAAAUGACUGAUUCUAGAUGUGAGAUAGCCUCUUAUAUGUAUUUCUUGACUCACUUUACUAACAAGGAUCUUCAAUACAAUACAGUUGAAGAGUAGCAGUGAUCUUGUAUUCACUGAAUACAAGAAUGGUUACUUGUAUUCAUUUCUUUAUUAAGAAUGCCUCUAAUGUUUCCAAUAAAUGUUUGCUACAUAUGCUGUAUCAAGUUGUAAAAGUUUAACCCGAGCCAGUCAUUUGCUUAUUUGCUCUCAGCUCUAUUCCCACCCUUCUGUGUUCCUUGUUUUUCAGAAGGUUAGAAGUCUGCAAACUACAUUUAUCAUUUCCAUUGUCAGAUGGCUUCUGAUUAGAUUUUGUCACUGGGUGGUAUUGGUUAAAGUUGGAUGGAAGGAAUAAAUUAUAUAUUUUUCCAUAAUCUUGGUUUCUGGUAAUGUUUUCAGUAGUGGCAGUGAUAGCAGAAGAUGAGUACCGCUUCAGGGUUCCUGGUGUAGCAGUGCAGUUCCAGCAAGCAUGUCAGAAGUCUUGCUAGUGUGGUACUGGUGGGAUCAGGCUUUGAUGGUGGCAUCUGCAGUGGCCAGAAGGUCAUGACAGCUGGAUCUUAGACAGACAUUCUGAGUCAUGAGGAGGAAGCCAAGUUCUGAGGAUGGUGGAGCAGGAAGAUAGAAGUUGGAACCCCAAUGACCUUGUGAACUAUUCUACUGACUGUGAACUGCCAACUCCGCACUUUUUUACAUGAGCAAGAAAUAAACCUCUUUCUUGUUUAAGCCA
rnacentral:lncRNA from 1 species